rnacentral:rRNA from 1 species
AAACACAGGAACAACAGUGUUAAUGCGUCAUAUCAUAUUAGAACUCUGCAGUUAAGCGCGCACAUGCUAGAGUAGUACUGGUAUGGGUGACUGCCUAGGAAUUCCUAGUGUUUU